UGCAAGAUCAAGGAAAAAGGAACAUAAUUUUGGAUUGGGCUGAAUGUAUUGAUAUGAGAACAUUUGUCUACCAAAGGGCUUUGGAAGUAUGGAAGAAAGGGAGGCUGGCAGUGCUUGUUACUUGGUUUCCUUUGGUUUUAUUUAGAGAAAAAAAAGCCAAUUCUGAAGGGUAGGUAGGGUUUAAAUACAAAGGAAAAGAAUCUUCUCUUUGGGAUUCAGUCACAGUAACUACAUUUAGGUUAGGGUAAUCUAGAACUAGUUGCUAUCUGGAACUCGACUUGUCUGUUGUCCACCAGACCCACCUUCAGGUACUAAAAGUCCAUUCUCACUAGCUGUGCAUGGUAUCCAUAAUUUAGUCCUGAUACGUUACAGAUGAGGUGAACAGCUGGCAUCAAGAACCAAAAUGGGUAGGGUCAGCAUUAAAAAGGUCUAGUAGCAGACAGCAGGGUCUCAGAUAAUGGACUUGGACUUAAGAGCAGGAAUCUAGAGUCUCCAAGGAGGUUAGGGGAAAAGGACUGGAAAACAAGAAUGGUUUUACAUUUUAAGAGGCUGACAUCUUGGACAAAUAAUCUAAUGAAGGGCUCGAACUCAGCAAUCGCAGGAGUCUAGUUACCAGGCUUGAGGUAUAUGCUGGACACAGAUAUUAAGGAACUGCACAUCCUUCUCAAACUAGGGUAUAAUUCUGGGACUAGUAAAUAAAAAGCAUUGCAUAUAUAAGAAAUUAUGAUACAUCUUCUAAGGAAUUAGUAGUUGACAGCAAUUUACAUUUUACAUGAAAAUUAGUCACAUUUUAAAUUAGACAGCCAAUUUCGGUGAAUUUAGAAGUAAACACAAGACUUCAAAGAAAUGUCCAGAUUCUAGUAGGCAGUUUCAGGCUGUACUUCCAAGUCACUGUUUGUCUUAGAAAAGUUCAGAAGGCAAUGAUGGGAAAAAGCACUGUAUAUGGGAAAGACUUACUUUAAACUAAAUCCUGCUAAUUACCUAUGACCUAGGUCAAGUCCAAAAAUGACUGAAUCCCAUAAGAUUGUUGUAAA
rnacentral:lncRNA from 1 species